rnacentral:lncRNA from 1 species
CGUGUGCAGAAGUCCUUCUUGUCCUGGUCGUUGUUCCCCUCUGAGUACCAGCUCCCCAUUGCCCUGAGGGAGGGCGGGCCGGAGGCAGAGGGAAGAAAGAGGAGGAGAAGGAAAUUGUCCCGGAUUCUUGCAGCUGUGUCUUCCUGACCACCGCACUGUGUCUAGUGGGUCCGAGCCUCUCCUGGGUGGCCAGUCUUUCCGUGGGUUACGGCACAACGCCAGGCAAGAGAAGAGGAAGGAAAUUAACCCUGAUCGGUGAAGGUCGAUUUGAGGGUCUGCUGUAG